ACUCCUACGGGAGGCAGCAGUGAGGAAUUUUGCGCAAUGGCCGCAAGGCUGACGCAGCAACGCCGCGUGGGUGAUGAAGGCCUUCGGGUCGUAAAAGCCCUGUCAGGUGGGAAGAAAGGCCUUGAUAAGAAACGGUUGAGGUUUGACGGUACCACCAGAGGAAGCACCGGCUAACUCCGUGCCAGCAGCCGCGGUAAUACGGAGGGUGCGAGCGUUAUUCGGAAUUACUGGGCGUAAAGCGCGUGUAGGCGGGGAUGCAAGUCUGAUGUGAAAGCCCUGGGCUUAGCCUGGGAAGUGCAUUGGAAACUGCAUUUCUUGAGUACUGGAGAGGUAAGGGGGUAUUCCCGGUGUAGAGGUGAAAAUUCGUAGAGAUCGGGAGGAAUACCAGUGGCGUAGGCGCCCUUCUGGACGGUAACUGACGCUGAGACGCGAAAAGCGUGGGGAGCGAAACAGGAUUAGAUACCCUGGUAGUCCACGCUGUAAACGAUGAUCACUAGGUGUAGCGGGUACUCAUUCCUGCUGUGCCGUAGCUAACGCGUUAAGUGAUCCGCCUGGGGAUUACGGUCG
rnacentral:rRNA from 1 species